UGUAGGGACCCCUCCUCCUGAGAACACGUGCCACGCACCUCAUGGUGACACGUGGCACGCAUUACCAUCCGGAUCACCCCCAUCCGGAUACACGUGACGCGCCUCUCAUAUCCGGACCGCCUCAAGGAAGUUCAAACGACACUUAUAAACAUAAGACAUCCGGACGACUUCCACCUCAUAUCCGAACCGCCUCAAGGAAGUUCAAACGACACUUGUAAGCAUAAGACAUCCGGACGACUUCCACCUCAUAUCCGGACCGCCUCAAGGAAGUUCAAACGACACUUGUAAGCAUAGAACAUCCGGACGGCUUCCACAAAUACAUCCGGAUGACCA
rnacentral:lncRNA from 1 species